UUCUCCUUUUCCUCUCCUCCCAUCUUUCUCUCCAUCUUUAGUCCAUAGAGUGGGCUAUAGAUGAGUUAAGGUUCCAUGACAAGCAACCUGAGAAUACUGUCAACCUGCACCGUCAACCUGAGGACAGUCGCCCAGCUUCUGUGUGACUCUUGAAGGCUGCUCCUACCCUGAGACGGCUCAAGGAGUGUGGCCUUUAAUACACCAGUGAUCUGGAGAACAAAGAAAUUUCUGUGAGCCUGCUCUGGUGAGAGGAAUCUGGGGCAGCUUCAAAAUUUGUGAGAAAGUAUCAUGCAUGUUUUUCUCCUAAAUCUGGGACCUAACAUUGAUUUGUGUGCUUGUAUGUCAAAGACAAGUGCUGAGUCGCUGUGACAGGAGGCUGGAAAGAGAUGUCAAGCCAGAGGUCUCUGUUCAGGCAGUACUGAGUACUCCCUGACUGCUCCAUGUGAGAGAUUCCCCAGGCUGAGUGUAACCAGGGUAACCCACAUGGGCAUCCUGAAAGCAGCAACACCAAGGUGACAGAACACAAAUGGGCCAGGAGUUAAAAAUGCAGCUUGAGUUUGAGAUUUAAACUUUAAAAAUGGAGCAACUCUCUCUAAAGCAAAACAGAAGCUUGCAGUCUCAUUUCAUUACCCGCCGGGGCCUUUGAGCCGUGAACUUUCCCCCACUUCAGAAACUUCUCUGGAAAAUUCAUUUCAUGCUUCUCUACUCCAGUAAAACCCUUGACCGAGCUGUUACAAAACAGGAGACUUGGCAGAGGGAAUGUGAGAAAUCACUUGAUAUGGUGGAGCCAGUUGGCACCCGUGAGAGCCAUGUGCCUCUGACCUUUGGUUCACCUGUAAUCUUGGACCAUGACCUUCUCCCAGCAGAGGGAAC